CCCCGCCGCCAGCGACGUGGAACGGGAGAAGCGCGUGGUACUUGUCGGUGAGGAACAUCUGGCUUUGCUGUGUGGGUGGGUGGAUGAAUUUUCAGGUGAAUCACAACUCGCAGCGGCGGAGGGGGGAGACGAGGAGAGAAGGGAGGAGGCGGGGAGAAUGAUAUAAAGGUGGCGGUGGCGUCGCGGGUGUGAACGGAGGCGGGGCGGGCGGUGUGAAGGAUGGCGACGGGGCGGGAGGCUUUUGUCUCCGGCAACAAGAAUGCGUUUCCGGGAAGGGGAUGGCCGGAUGGGUUUGGGAUUGGGAGGUGACCAGCGUGGGCCCGCCGCGUAAGACGCGUAGCCGGAACACUUCUUUCGUUUUUUUCUCGCUUCGCCUUUUCACUCCUCCACGCUUCUCUCUGUUUUUUGGUUGAGAAAAAGUUUACUCACUUUGUCUUAGAAAAGAAUCAAUUCUCUGUUUCCCGUGUCCAACGUGUUCAUCAUCCGUCUUAUUUAUAAAAUUUUAGAAAAUUAGAAAAAAAAUUAGUCACACGUAAAGUACUAUUUAUGAUUUAUCUUCUAAUAAAAACAAAAAUAUAAAUCGCAAAAAAAUUUAAAUAAGACGAAGAGUCAAAAAUUAUAGGUAAAAAAUAAAAAUUGAUUUAUUUUGGGACGGAGGGAGUAAAAUCUAAUCGGAGUUUAGUGCUCCACUUGUCAACUUUAAUACUGAGCCUAAUUGUGGUUAUCUGCCACAUGGUUUUUGUGGGGGUAAUCCCCCUCUUUUUUUUUUACUUCGAGUAUGUGCGUCGCAUUAUCUAUUUUUACCUUAUACUCCUUCGUUCCAAUAUAAAUAAAUACAAUUUUCACACCAUAGAGUCAAAUUAGUGGAAAAAAAUAACUUGAAUGUUUCUCAUUAGAUAAGAAGAUUGUAUGAGGUGGGGACGGAUCAGGGAAGGUCCCAGUGGGUCGGGGACAAAAAAAAAAUCUACUGUAAGGUAAGGUAUGUAUGUACGUAAAAAAACAACUCCUGUAAAAAGAAAAAAAGAUGAAUACUCCCUUAUUAAUACCCCCUGCGUUUAACAAUGUAAGAUUUUUAGUCUCGUCUAGAUUCAUAUAGAUGCUAAUAAAUCUUGAUAUAUAUAUAUAUAUAUAUUAUAUACAUUUAUCAAUUGAUAGAUUUAGUUAAAGUUAAAAAGUCUUACAACAUGAAACAGAGGUAGUACGUGACAAUGGAUUUUUGAGUAAUUUUAAAUUUGUAUUUUUUUGAUACGGUACUUUUUAAAGUAUUUAAAUAAAUUUAUAGCAUUCAUAUUUGAACAUGAGACGAUUAAUAUGACAAAUAGUACUCCACUGAAGCACUUAUUGUGGAAUAAAUUUAAAUACCAAAGAUGCUCUUAUUAUGCAACAGAUGUAGUAUUAUGCUGAAAAUCUAAGGCUGAGAAUAGAUGAAACCAUUGCGUUGUGACAUAUCCGUUCUUUUGUGGAUAAAAAAAAAAAUCUAAGAACAAUCUCAUCGAAUGAAUGCAGCCAUAGUAUGCCGCUUUAUUUUCUUGUUGAUAAUGGGAUCAACUUUUGUUUUGAUCUGGUUAUUGUACGACAGCACUUCAUUUUCUCAGAUUUGUAGACGUUCACCAAAAUUCUUAACGGUUAUUUUCAUUAAAAAACAUGUAUAAAAGUUCAUCAUCCAACUUUUCUAUUUAUUUUAUAGUUUGUUCAUUUAUACUCUUAAAUAGUUUAUAUAAUAAAAUUAGGAUAAUAUUUCAAUCUCAAAUAUCUCCAACACCACCUAAAAUGAGCACAUACACGUAUUAAUUUCUUCUGCUAUCUUGUGGGUUGGAAAGAGGAAAUACGUCGACGAUUAAGCUAGCAGAACAUACUGGAACGUUUGGCAAGCCCUAAAGAUAUUUUUUUAUCAUAACAUUAUUAAGGCAUUAAUAACUAGACUGAGAUCACUCUCUUAUUACCCCCACUAAUAGAGCUUUCAUCUUUAUGACAUUUUGAUGUACGACGAUCUCCAGGCACUCAAGCUCGCUCCGUGCAGGUCGCGCGUUUCCACUGGGGACAUUGCAACUACAACUACAAGUGCAAGCCUUGCACUCUUCUGCAGUUCACAUAAGGGGUUUAGUUUGUAAAUUUUUUUUGCAAAAAUAUCACAUCAAAACUUUAAACACACAUUUAAAGUAUUAAAUUUAGUCUAAUUACAAAAGAAAUUUCAGAUUCCGUCGGAAACCGCGAGACGAAUCUUUUAAGUCUAAUUAAUCCGUCAUUAGCAUAGGUUGGUCACUGUAGCACUUAUGGCUAAUCACGUCCUAAUUAGACUCAAAAGAUUUGUUUCACUAUUUCCUCCAUAACUAUAUAAUUAGUUUUAAUAUUUAUAUAUAUUUAAUACUUUAUUUAAAUAUCCAAAAAUUCGAUACAAUGUUUUUGGAAAAAAAUUUGAAAACUAGACGGAGGCGAAGUUACUGUCAGAUGACAUAUGCCGACUGACCUAUGCUUAUAAAAAAAGAAAUGGUACGGGCCAACGGGUACGGAUGGGGAGCAUAAUUUGUGUGUGUACAUUGAUCAAAUAAAUAAAAGAUAAUUUAUAGAUAAAACUUGUAUUCCCUUCGUUUUUUUCAACGCCAUUGACUUUUUGAUUUACGUUUGAUCCUUCGUCUUAUUUAAAAAUUUUGUCCAAAUAUACAAAAUUAUAUAUUAUACUUAAAUUUACUUUAGUAAUAAAUCAAAUCAUAAUAAAAUAGUCAAUAAUUAUAUAAUUUUUUUUAAUAAGAUGAAGGUCAAACGUAGAUAAAAAAGUCAACGACGUCAAAAAAAAAUUAAAGGGAGUAUGUAUUUAUAAUGAUUUAAAAGUCAAUUAUAAAAAUUCUUAAAAUCAACUCUAAAAUUCAAAUUUUGGUUACAGAUAAUAAACCAAUAAGCAAAGCACGAAAGAUAUAAACCACAUCUUUUCACUUUCGCUAAUGCUUAUAAGACAAAAUUUGAUUUCUUAAUCUCAUUUUAUUUUUUUCUAUCGGAGCUUACUUUUCGACCUUGACUUUUAGAUCGCUAAGAACACGUAUAUAAAAGUUUUAUUCACAGAUUAUUUUUCAUUUGUAAAUAUGUCAUUUUGUCUUUUCAUUUAAAAAACCAAAUAAGCACCCCCAUAUGCUCAACUACACUAAAAUUCAUAUCGAGAAGUUCAUAGAAAACAGUUGCAAAAAUCAGAAAGAGUGAUGCAUUUCAAACGGAGGAUCAAUCGUUUAGGAAAAAUGAUGCCAGGCAAAUGUUCUAAAAGUACCCUAGACUCCAGUGUGAACAAAACGCCCUUUUUAUCGUGAUUUUUUUUUGGAGUGUGUACUGUGAUCAUAUCAUGUCAUUUUCUGAUUUUUUCCAGACAUUCUUCUUUACUUACCGUGAAUGCCACACAACGAACCGUACAUCACUUCUUGUAGGGAAGAUAUUUCCCCGUGCAACGAACCGUCUUGAAGGACUUGCUUUGCACACGUGUACAGGGUUUGCGCCGAUGUUCAGUUACGCCCCCCCAUCCUGCAUGACGCAACGCUACAAACUGCUCACUUCUGUGUGUCAUGCAAAUGCAAUACCGACACCAUCGGAUAAGCAAAAGCAAGUAGCCAAUGCCAAAUCGAGUAUAUCUUCCUUCCAAAAUAUAACCAUCUCUAAAUUUUGAUAUGAUCUUUAUUUCAAACAAAAAAUAUAUACAUUAUAAUAGUCUGUUUAAUAGAUAAAUCUAAUAAUAUUACUAGUCUUUUUAAUUUCUUUUUGUUGUUGACAGUCAAAGUUCAAAACAUUUCAGUUAGAAUUAUUAUAAAAAUAGUCAUAUUUUGCGAGGGAUGGAGUACCUCUCAUGUCUCCUGAGUCCUGCCUCGUGAUAAACUCCUUCAAGUGGCAACUAGGUGAUGGCCAAAAAAAUUACCACGAAGCGGUCCAGUGCUACAGUUGCCACCACGCUAGCUUCGCUUUAGCUCCACGCAUCCGAAACGGUAGGAAAGAAACGUGGGCGCCAGAUACUGCCAUUUUUCUGUUCGCCCAUUGGCUGUUUUGAAACAAGGUUCGGCCAUCGACUUUGACCUGGUGAUCAAAACUUGGUCUGCACACAACAUAUGGAUAAUGAGCGAUAAUGAUAAUAUGAAAAACUAUUAGCCUCAAAUUAAGGGUUCGUUGACGCAGACCUCAUUUGAAUUGACGUGUAAUGUUGGUUCAGAUGGCCGACUUGGCCCCCUUGAUUUAAAACAAAUGAUUUAUGUACAAGUGGGAUAGGUACAUCUAAAGUUUGGCAUAUAUAAAGUAUAAACUACACUAGCAAUCUGGCAAGCUAGGGAAUUUCAAAUUAAGCCUUUCUGGAUUUAAAUAUGGACAAAAAAUGGCCUGACGCUUGAGGCAGGUAGGAACAAAAUUACUAAGGCAUUUCGCAUGUCACAUAUAUACCUUGACAUUGGAGGAAUAAAAACACAAUGUGCUAGUGUGCUACUCAUAGUGAUCGAUGAAGAUAAAUCAAAACUAGAAGCACGAUGUAAGAACCUGCAGAUCAGCACACACCCUCAGUUCUAGUUCCUGCUCGAUGCUUUGAUGUACUAUGCCUUGAAAAGAUUUCACGAACCAUGAAUAUUUGACAAUUCACAAGUCCUGUCAACAACUGUAACAACUGCAAGCCACGAGGAUUUAGUGUGAUAAAUGGUCUGAGCAUUUUAAGAACCUUUGCAUAAGCGCGUUACAGGCAUUAGAACGUCUAGUACAGGAUAUGGUAUUUAGUAAUUUACCAGAACAAUGUCAGCAUACAAUUCAGGAACACCAAGAUCAACAGCUAUCCAUAUAAACUAAGGCGUGCUCCUUCCACACACUGCAUCACAAAGGAAGCAAAUUAGCUAAACAUCACAAUCAACACAGCUAUUUCCUGUUUUCAUUUAUUUAAUUAGGUAGAUUACGCUAAGAGUGUUCUUAUCACCUUGCAUGUGCUCAAAUCAAUCCAGGCGGUGCCCCUACAAUAUCAAACUUUAAGAGAAAUCUGUUGUGGCACAAAACAAAGCAUCUUCCUAUCACUAAUCUGGUUUGGAAUUUCAGCAAGGUGGAAAGCUGUUGCCGGAUUGGUCUGGUCAGCUCUGAAUACCAGAAUCGCAAAUUCAGGCUUCAGCAUCGUGGGUCAUACAUGAGCCCACUUGGGCGACAAAAAUGCCUGAAGUUCCCGCAAAAAAGGGGAGCAAAUGAUCGGUUUUGAUUAGGUAGGGCACACUUCGAGUCCAUGGUAGUGAACAAACUUAUCUCUAUAGACACAAAAAGGAGAAAACACCAUGGUUUA
rnacentral:lncRNA from 1 species